rnacentral:rRNA from 1 species
GUCGAGAAUCUUUCACAAUGGGGGCAACCCUGAUGGAGCGACGCCGCGUGGAGGAUAAGGUCUUCGGAUUGUAAACUCCUGUCAUGCGUGAACAAGGUUGCUUGGUUAAUACCUGGGCAAAUUGAUGGUAACGCAAGAGGAAGAGACGGCUAACUCUGUGCCAGCAGCCGCGGUAAUACAGAGGUCUCAAGCGUUGUUCGGAAUCACUGGGCGUAAAGCGUGCGUAGGUGGCGUGGUAAGUCAGAUGUGAAAGCCCGGGGCUCAACCUCGGAACUGCAUCCGAUACUGCCAUGCUAGAGUACUGGAGAGGUGACUAGAAUUCUCGGUGUAGCAGUGAAAUGCGUAGAUAUCGAGAGGAAUACCAAAGGCGUAGGCAGGUCACUGGACAGUUACUGACACUGAGGCACGAAGGCCAGGGGAGCGAACGGGAUUAGAAACCCGUGUAGUCC